rnacentral:rRNA from 1 species
CGCCUGCGUGAAGUUGGAAUUGCUAGUAAUCGCGGAUCAGCAUGCCGCGGUGAAUACGUUCCCGGGCCUUGUACACACCGCCGUCACACCAUGGGAGCCGGUAAUACCCGAAGUCAGUAGUCUAACCGCAAGGGGGGCGCUGCCGAAGGUAGGAUUGGCGACUGGGGUGAAGUCGUAACAAGGUACC